rnacentral:rRNA from 1 species
UACGAGGGGGGCAAGUGUUGUUCGGAAUCACUGGGCGUAAAGGGAGCGUAGGCGGAUGUUUAAGUCGGGAGUUUAAAACCGGGGCCCAACCCCGGAGCGGCUCCCGAAACUGGGCAUCUUGAAUAGGUCAGAGGCUGGUGGAAUUGGAGGUGUAGCGGUGGAAUGCGUAGAGAUCUUCAAGAACACCUAUUGCGAAGGCAGCCAGCUGGGACCAUAUUGACGCUGAGGCUCGAAAGCAUGGGGAGCAAACAGG